GACGAGCGCUGCGGGCGGCCUUAACACUUGAAGUUCGACCGGGAACGCGGGAGCUUUGUCCCUUCGGAUCAGGGGCGAACGGGGUGGUAACACGUGGGCAACUUCCCCCGAACUUUGGGUUAAGCGUUGGAAACGACGCUUAAUACCGGAUACGACGCGGGCUGGCUGCCGUUCCGCGGGGAAAGAACUUCGGUUCGGGAUGAGCCCGCGGCCUAUCAGCUUGUUGGUGGGGUAACGGCUCACCAAGGCGACGACGGGUAGCCGGCCUGAGAGGGUGACCGGCCACACUGGGACUGAGACACGGCCCAGACUCCUACGGGAGGCAGCAGUGGGGAAUAUUGCACAAUGGGCGCAAGCCUGAUGCAGCAACGCCGCGUGAGGGACGACGGCCUUCGGGUUGUAAACCUCUUUUAGCAGGGAAGAAGCGAAAGUGACGGUACCUGCAGAAAAAGCACCGGCUAACUACGUG
rnacentral:rRNA from 1 species